GAAGCACCAGGAAAACAGGCUUUAUUCUGCUCCACAGACAGCUAUGACUGGCCUUUUACAGAUAACCAAAUCAUUGCUGCUUUAAAAGAAGUAAAUAAGCAACCAACCCUCUCCCUGAAUAUCAGUAGAAAGAGCUAUAAUCUGAUGUGUCAUAACUGACGUCAUGACAUCACAAUACCACCACUGCUAUCAUCCCCCAGCACUGUAAACUGGCUCACACCGAAGACAGUAACAGAUUUUGCAGAAGUAAAAGAUACUAGGAAGGAGAAGGAAAAGAGCACUAGUGUAAGCUUACCACAGGGCAGAGUAUGCAAACAUCCAUCUUCUUGAUGGAGAUUCAGAAUUGCAGCUCAGACAUACUAGAGUGUACUGAAGUGCCUCUCUUUUGAGCACAUUCCUAUGGUGUUUCCCUAUGAGGUCAGACAUUAGCUGCAGGCAAAUGUGGAUAACACAGAUUAAGACACCAUCUCCAGCUCCAUCAAAGCCCCUUUGCAGAUCCCCAAAACGUGCUUGAAGAAGGGAGCAGAUAAGAUUCUCCAGCUCCACACAUUAAGCAGUGAACAAUGACAACACCACAGUGGAUGAGCAGAGGCUCAUCUUAUCCCCUAAGGAAAUUUGCAAACGUG